UACGUAGGAUGCAAGCGUUGUCCGGAAUUAUUGGGCGUAAAGAGCUCGUAGGCGGUUUGUCGCGUCUGCUGUGAAAACUCGAGGCUCAACCUCGGGCUUGGCAGUGGGUACGGGCAGACUAGAGUGCGGUAGGGGUGACUGGAAUUCCUGGUGUAGCGGUGGAAUGCGCAGAUAUCAGGAGGAACACCGAUGGCGAAGGCAGGUCACUGGGCCGCAACUGACGCUGGAGGAGCGAAAGCCGUGGGUAGCGAACAGG
rnacentral:rRNA from 1 species